rnacentral:rRNA from 1 species
GAGGGAGGGGGGAAUUAAUAAAGAAAAAAAAAUAAAAAAAGAAUUUUUAAUAUAUAAAUAUUUAAUGGGGGUUAAAGUAUUUAAAUAGAAAAAAUUUUUAAUUUUAUAGAAAAUUAGUAUAAUAUUAGAAUUUUGAAAUAAAUUAAAAAAUAAUUAAUAAAAAAGUAAUUUUAAUUUAAUGUAUCUUGGGUAUCAGAGUUUAUUAAUAAAAAAUUUAAGUUUUAAAAUUUCUCGAAUUUAAAAGAGAUAAUUAAUUAAUAAAGUUAUUGUGGCAAAAAUAUUUUAAAUAAUUAAUUGGAAAUGAAAUGUUAAACGUUUUUAAAGAUAUCUAGUUUUUUUAGAAAAAAAUUUAAUUUUAAAUUUUAAAUAAAAAAUCAUUAAUUAAUUAAUGAUUUUUUAUGAAAAUUUUAUAUUUUAAGGGAUAAGCUUUAAAUUAAAAUUAUAUAAUGGUUUAAAUUUGAAAAUUAAGAUUUUUAUAAUUUAUAUUGUUAAUAAAAUUUAAUUUAUUAUAAAUAAUUUUAUUUAAAAAUAAAAUUUAAUUUAAAUUUAUAAUUUUAUAAAAAAAUAAUUUUUUAUAAAGUAAAGUUAGUUAUAAUGAUAAAAUUAGUAUAUUAAUUAAACUAAAAAAUAUAUUUAAUUAAAAAUAAUUAAAAGGAAUUCGGCAAAAAUAAGUAUUCACUUGUUUAUCAAAAACAUGUCUUUUGGAGAUAAUCUAAAGUCUAAUCUGCCCACUGAUUUUUAUUAAAGGGCUGCAGUAUUUUGACUGUACAAAGGUAGCAUAAUCAUUAGUCAUUUAAUUGGUGACUUGUAUGAAAGAUUGAAUGAAAUAUUGGCUGUCUCUUAAAUAUUAAUAGAAUUUAAUUUUUUAAUUAAAAAGUUAAAAUGAUUUAAAAAGACGAGAAGACCCUAUAGAGUUUUAUAGUUGAAUUUUUAAGGUUAUUUAUUAAAUUAAUAUUAAUAAAAGUAAAAUUAUUUUGUUGGGGUGAUAGAAAAAUAUAAUAAACUUUUUUAAUAGUUAAACAUAGAUAAAUGAAUUUUUUGAUCCAAUUAUAUUGAUUAUAAGAAAAAAUUACCUUAGGGAUAACAGCGUAAUUUUUUUUUUUAGUUCAUAUAAAAAAAAAAGUUUGCGACCUCGAUGUUGGAUUAAGAUAAAAUUUAAAUGUAGAAGUUUAAAAUUUUGAUCUGUUCGAUCAUUAAAAUCUUACAUGAUCUGAGUUCAAACCGGUGUAAGCCAGGUUGGUUUCUAUCUUUUAAUAAAAUAAAUAUUUUAGUACGAAAGGAAUAAAUAUUUAAAUUAAAUUUUAAAAAAGAAUCUUAUUAAUUUAAAUAUAAAAAAAUUAUUUAAAUAUUGAAUUAAAAUAUAUUAUAGUGUCAACUAUUUUGGCAG